GUUUAAUUAGUUUAUAAAAAAUAAUAAAUUGUGGAUUUAUUGAAGAUGUAAAAUCAUUAAACA
rnacentral:tRNA from 1 species